rnacentral:rRNA from 1 species
UUCCAGGUAAAUCCGGUUCACUUUAACACUGAGGCGUGACGACGAGGCACUACGGUGCUGAAGCAACAAAUGCCCUGCUUCCAGGAAAAGCCUCUAAGCAUCAGGUAACAUCAAAUCGUACCCCAAACCGACACAGGUGGUCAGGUAGAGAAUACCAAGGCGCUUGAGAGAACUCGGGUGAAGGAACUAGGCAAAAUGGUGCCGUAACUUCGGGAGAAGGCACGCUGACACGUAGGUGAAGUGAUUUACUCAUGGAGCUGAAGUCAGUCGAAGAUACCAGCUGGCUGCAACUGUUUAUUAAAAACACAGCACUGUGCAAACACGAAAGUGGACGUAUACGGUGUGACGCCUGCCCGGUGCCGGAAGGUUAAUUGAUGGGGUCAGCGCAAGCGAAGCUCCUGAUCGAAGCCCCGGUAAACGGCGGCCGUAACUAUAACGGUCCUAAGGUAGCGAAAUUCCUUGUCGGGUAAGUUCCGACCUGCACGAAUGGCGUAAUGAUGGCCAGGCUGUCUCCACCCGAGACUCAGUGAAAUUGAACUCGCUGUGAAGAUGCAGUGUACCCGCGGCAAGACGGAAAGACCCCGUGAACCUUUACUAUAGCUUGACACUGAACAUUGAGCCUUGAUGUGUAGGAUAGGUGGGAGGCUUUGAAGUGUGGACGCCAGUCUGCAUGGAGCCGACCUUGAAAUACCACCCUUUAAUGUUUGAUGUUCUAACGUGGACCCGUUACCCGGGUUGCGGACAGUGUCUGGUGGGUAGUUUGACUGGGGCGGUCUCCUCCUAAAGAGUAACGGAGGAGCACGAAGGUUGGCUAAUCCUGGUCGGACAUCAGGAGGUUAGUGCAAUGGCAUAAGCCAGCUUGACUGCGAGCGUGACGGCGCGAGCAGGUGCGAAAGCAGGUCAUAGUGAUCCGGUGGUUCUGAAUGGAAGGGCCAUCGCUCAACGGAUAAAAGGUACUCCGGGGAUAACAGGCUGAUACCGCCCAAGAGUUCAUAUCGACGGCGGUGUUUGGCACCUCGAUGUCGGCUCAUCACAUCCUGGGGCUGAAGUAGGUCCCAAGGGUAUGGCUGUUCGCCAUUUAAAGUGGUACGCGAGCUGGGUUUAGAACGUCGUGAGACAGUUCGGUCCCUAUCUGCCGUGGGCGCUGGAGAACUGAGGGGGGCUGCUCCUAGUACGAGAGGACCGGAGUGGACGCAUCACUGGUGUUCGGGUUGUCAUGCCAAU